UACGAAGGGGGCUAGCGUUGCUCGGAAUUACUGGGCGUAAAGGGCGCGUAGGCGGCUUAGUUAGUCAGGCGUGAAAUUCCUGGGCUCAACCUGGGGACUGCGCUUGAUACGGCUAGGCUAGAGGAUGGAAGAGGGUCGCGGAAUUCCCAGUGUAGAGGUGAAAUUCGUAGAUAUUGGGAAGAACACCGGUGGCGAAGGCGGGUCUCUGGGCCGAUACUGGACGCUGAGGAGACGAAAGCGUGGGGAGCGAACAGG
rnacentral:rRNA from 1 species